AGCAGCGGACUAGCUUCGGGGAUUGGUUCCUACUUCAGGCCGGAUCUCCUACAGGAGUCGUCAGAGGAUGACGAGGUGGAAGUGCAGGAGGCUCCAGUUACUACAUCCCUGCGUGAGUAAAUUGAAUUGUGAGCCUUCAAAAAAAUGUAUGAUGAAUGUGUAUAAUAUUGUCUAAUUUUCUUUUCAGCUGCCCAAAUCCAAGUGGUGGCAGACAUCCAGGAAGGGCAGAAUCCCUCAACUGUUCAGAGGGUUCACACCCUGGCAUCAGAGAUUGGGACACGCCAGGAUACAUACACAAAUGUUGUGGGAAGCAGACUGGACAACAUUGAGAGGACAAUGGAGAAAAUGUCCAACAGUCUGCAUGAACUGCAGAAGACUCUUUCCGACAGCACGGCCACAAUACUACAGAUCAUAAUUCAAGAUCAUAGGGAGAAUAUGAACGUACUUAACAUUCUGUCCGAUUCCAUGGUCAAGCUUGUGGAAAACACCUCAUGUCUGGCAGAAAGCAAUAAGAACAUGUCGGAGAGUCAUCGACACUCCUCUUCCAGCCAACAGGUCAUCGCAACCACACUGCAGAUGAUCUAUGAAAAGCUCCCAGUACCAGCUCAUCAACACGCUGGUGAUCCACCAUAUCCGCCGUCGCAAGCCACAAGGACGCAUCGUACCCUUCCUCAAGUCCCAUCCCAGUACAGACAGUCACAGAUGUACCAGGGAUAUACAGGGAUGUACCCCACCCCCCAGAUGCCUCCACCACCGGCCGCACAAUCUUCAGCAGCAUGGGCACCGAGGGCCAGUCCACAUACUCCCCAGCCUCCCAGGACAUCCACGCCCUAUCAGGGGGAAGAAGAGGAUCCGGACAGACUUCCACCAUAAACCCGGUCGUAUUAUUUUAUUUUAUUUUAAAUGUUUUUCAUGUAUCCCUGUCUUCCCCUCCCAUUAGUUUGUUGUUUUUCUUACUAUUGUUUUUUCUUUGUUGGCCUUCCCCACCCGUGACCGGGUACUACCAAGGAGCUUUGUGUAGGCAUACAUGCGCGGGCAUGUAUGCGGGCGCGUGUGGUAACGGAUGAAAGCUCCUUGCGGCUACAUGUAUGAUGGGCCAAAGAGCUAUUCUGAUACCCCCUUUUUCUUCCAAAAAUCCUUUUUUUGUAAUGAUGUACAGUAGGCUUUAAUUGUGUGAAUUUACUAUUCACUAGUCUGUGUUUUUGACUUAUUCAUAGGAUUGGUGAGGAGAAAUGAAGUGGACGGCAUAAGUUUGUGUUGUGCGUACCAAGAUAUCUAUAUACACAAGAAAAGAAUGUAAAGAAGAACAAACUACUUUUUUGUUUUAAUUAACUUUCAAACUUUAUUAAAAAAAUUUUUUCUUCAAUAAACUUUUAAAAAUAGAA